rnacentral:rRNA from 1 species
UACGUAGGGUGCAAGCGUUGUCCGGAAUCAUUGGGCGUAAAGCGCGCGUAGGUGGUCAUGUAAGUCCGCUGUGAAAGUCAAAGGCUCAACCUUUGAAAGCCGGUGGAUACUGCAGAGCUAGAGUACGGAAGAGGCGAGUGGAAUUCCUGGUGUAGCGGUGGAAUGCGCAGAUAUCAGGAGGAACACCAAUAGCGAAGGCGGCUCACUGGCCCGGAACUGACGCUGAGACGCGAAAGCGUGGGGAGCGAACAGG